CUUCAGGAGCAGAAAUCAGUAUUUUUCCUGGGAUGUGAACAGGCAACAAACAUAAUACUUGUACCACACAUAGGAGUAAGCCAUUCUCAGUGGAGGGCCCCUGUAGCUAAGGGACACUGGAAUUUCCAGGGCUAACCUCAUUUUGGGUGAAACGUUAGGGGAAACAAGGCUGCAUAAAUUCACAGGGAGAGCCUGUUUCCAUCACUGGAAAAUGGUCUGAAAAUCAGUCUACAGUAGAUUUUAAAGAUAGUUUCAGAACAAAGCAUCUGACUUGGGAAUCCACCCAUAUGUGUCUAUCUCAUGCUGUUAAUGGGCUUAAGAAAAUGAAAGUGUCAGGAAGAAACGGCAUGUUUAUGGAGCACCAAGUCAGCCACUAGCAAAGUACUAGAUAUGCAGACAGAGGAGAAUACAGGCUUCCUCCCCUACCCCCUGGUGGAGGGUAUUUGUGCAGUAAUACUCUAAAAAGUCAUUAAGAGAAUGACAUCAGGUGCCUUCUAAUAGAAUUAGAAUUUGAUUUCAUUUGUCCAAAGCUUUUGUUAUGUUUAUAUUUUUCUAUAUGGAUACAAAUACCAGCCAGAGCAAGUGACGGUGAAGAAAAUCAUGUCAGCCAGGUACAGGAAACUGAAAGCUAGACUCACCAUCCCUGCCUCAAUAAGCCCAAUGGCAUUUCUCAUCCUGACCUGGCAGGUAAGACAGAAAACAGAGGGGUUGGGAUGCAGAGCCUCCUGGGCCUCCAUAUAAGCAUUGGGAUGAAACAAUAUAAUAUUUAUUUUUUGAAGAAAUGCAUGAAUAAAAAGUCUAUGGGCAAAAGGAAAUAAUACAAUUGUGGAACAGAAAUAUUAACACAAUCUAAACCAUUUAUCAUUAGAAAAAUGAUAUAUUCUGGAAAAAAACAUUUCUAAUUGAAGCUCAUCAAAGAUCCAAAUGUUUUAUCUUUAUAUUUCACUUAGUUGUCAGUAAAAAUUGCAAACAACUUCUAGAGUGCUUUACAGAUGAACAGAUGUUGAUAUCUUUAAGCGGUAUUUUAU
rnacentral:lncRNA from 1 species